rnacentral:lncRNA from 1 species
AGGCAGCAGCAGCCUCGCCUUCGCUCGAAGUCGCUGCUGCCUUUGGUGCCUCCAGCCAGACUGUCGUCCAGCCCACUCCUUCGCCGCCUUCUCCUGCUAGUCGGCCUUUGACCGCCACUCCGCCGCCAGUGUCCGCUGAUAAUGAACACGAGGUGUGGAGUACGCGUAAAUCCAAGUUUUUGAUUUGCAUGUACAGGGCAUUCAAAGACAGCAUUGGCAAGAAGUGUGGCUUUAAGACCAAAAAGGCCAUGUAGGAAAACGUGGCCCGUGAAAUAAACAAUGAAUUUCACUGUAGCAUGAUUCCUCUUCAAAUUGAGAACAAAUGGAAAUCGAUGGAGAGAUCAUACAAGGAAACAAAAAUAAGGAACGGAUCAUCCGGUCAUUCUCCUGCAGCCUGCGAGUACGAGGGUUAUGGCAACGAAGUUUUGGAGCGCGAACUUCACAUCACUCCAGUUGCAUUGCUCGCCCCGGGGAGGAUUGUUGCGUAAGUUGGCAUGUUGUAUCUUUAUUUUGUAUUGAAAAGAAUUUUAAAAUGUUACCUGAUUAUGCAUGAACAUUUUCCUGAUAGCAUCUUUUAAGUGCAAUUUACGUUCAUCUGUACAUUUGUUAGCACCGUUCUAAACGUGUUGUGCGCAUGCAAGCUUUUGUGGGAAAAUGCUGCUUCCAUUCGUAUGGCAUGCAUGGACCAUUUGCUGUUAUAGGACGAGGUCAUACAGGUUACUGCGACCUUGUCUGUUUCUUCAUUUGCAGAUAAAGAGUUUUGGCAUUGAAGACGUAUUCAGCUCUAAAAAUACCUGCAGUUUGCGUACUGUUUCUGCUUAAAGGACUGAUGUGAGAUGAAGCUGCCCAGGAGCAAAUUGCUCCGCCACUCAUUUUGCACAGUUACAACAUGUAAUGACCAAUGCGACAUUUGUUGACAUUAAUGAAACUUUAUUAAUGGAAGUAACAUGAAUGGAGAAAGGAUGCUGCCAGAAAAUGGGCCUGCUGACGACGGUCGAGAUGAGGACGGACCAGCUGAGGAGGCACCCCGCAGCAUUGAAGCGACACCAUCUAGGAGAGGUGAUGGCCGCCACAGGAACACAUCGAUUGGCAGCGUGAUAAAUGUAUUGCAGCAAGCCAUAGCUGCGAAGCAGAAGCAGCAUGAAGAAAAAAUGUCUCUUCUUGAGCGUCUUGUGAGCGCUGCCGAAGCAAGUAAAUGAGUACAGCAAUAGUUUCUUUUCGCAUGA